rnacentral:rRNA from 1 species
AGCGUACACGGUGGAUGCCUAGGCAGUCAGAGGCGAUGAAGGGCGUGCUAAUCUGCGAAAAGCGUCGGUAAGCUGAUAUGAAGCGUAAUAACCGACGAUACCCGAAUGGGGAAACCCAGUGCAAUUCGUUGCACUAUUGCAUGGUGAAUACAUAGCCAUGCAAGGCGAACCGGGGGAACUGAAACAUCUAAGUACCCCGAGGAAAAGAAAUCAACCGAGAUUCCCCCAGUAGCGGCGAGCGAACGGGGAAGAGCCCAGAGUCUGAAUCAGUUGGUGUGUUAGUGGAAGCGUCUGGAAAGUCGCACGGUACAGGGUGAUAGUCCCGUACACAAAAACACACUGGCUGUGAACUCGAUGAGUAGGGCGGGACACGUGACAUCCUGUCUGAAUAUGGGGGGACCAUCCUCCAAGGCUAAAUACUCCUGACUGACCGAUAGUGAACCAGUACCGUGAGGGAAAGGCGAAAAGAACCCCGGCGAGGGGAGUGAAAUAGAACCUGAAACCGUGUACGUACAAGCAGUGGGAGCACCUUCGUGGUGUGACUGCGUACCUUUUGUAUAAUGGGUCAGCGACUUAUAUUUUGUAGCAAGGUUAACCGAAUAGGGGAGCCGUAGGGAAACCGAGUCUUAACUGGGCGUCUAGUUGCAAGGUAUAGACCCGAAACCCGGUGAUCUAGCCAUGGGCAGGUUGAAGGUUGGGUAACACUAACUGGAGGACCGAACCGACUAAUGUUGAAAAAUUAGCGGAUGACUUGUGGCUGGGGGUGAAAGGCCAAUCAAACCGGGAGAUAGCUGGUUCUCCCCGAAAGCUAUUUAGGUAGCGCCUCGUGAACUCAUCUUCGGGGGUAGAGCACUGUUUCGGCUAGGGGUCCAUCCCGGAUUACCAAACCGAUGCAAACUCCGAAUACCGAAGAAUGUUAUCACGGGAGACACACGGCGGGUGCUAACGUCCGUCGUGAAGAGGGAAACAACCCAGACCGCCAGCUAAGGUCCCAAAGUCAUGGUUAAGUGGGAAACGAUGUGGGAAGGCAUAGACAGCCAGGAUGUUGGCUUAGAAGCAGCCAUCAUUUAAAGAAAGCGUAAUAGCUCACUGGUCGAGUCGGCCUGCGCGGAAGAUGUAACGGGGCUAAACCAUGCACCGAAGCUGCGGCAGCGACGCUUAGGCGUUGUUGGGUAGGGGAGCGUUCUGUAAGCCGUUGAAGGUGGCCUGUGAGGGCUGCUGGAGGUAUCAGAAGUGCGAAUGCUGACAUAAGUAACGAUAAUGCGGGUGAAAAACCCGCACGCCGGAAGACCAAGGGUUCCUGUCCAACGUUAAUCGGGGCAGGGUGAGUCGACCCCUAAGGCGAGGCUGAAAAGCGUAGUCGAUGGGAAACAGGUUAAUAUUCCUGUACUGGGUGUGACUGCGAAGGGGGGACGGAGAAGGCUAGGCUAGCCGGGCGACGGUUGUCCCGGUUUAAGCAUGUAGGCGGAGCGACUUGGUAAAUCCGGUUGCUUAUCAACGCUGAGGUGUGAUGACGAGCCACUACGGUGGUGAAGUAGUUGAUGCCAAGCUUCCAGGAAAAGCCUCUAAGCAUCAGGUGACAUUCAAUCGUACCCCAAACCGACACAGGUGGUCAGGUAGAGAAUACUCAGGCGCUUGAGAGAACUCGGGUGAAGGAACUAGGCAAAAUGGUGCCGUAACUUCGGGAGAAGGCACGCUGGCAUUAGGUAAAGAGACUUGCUCUCGGCGCCGAAGCCAGUCGCAGAUACCAGCUGGCUGCAACUGUUUAAUAAAAACACAGCACUGUGCAAACACGAAAGUGGACGUAUACGGUGUGACGCCUGCCCGGUGCUGGAAGGUUAAUUGAUGGGGUCAGCCGCAAGGCGAAGCUCUUGAUCGAAGCCCCAGUAAACGGCGGCCGUAACUAUAACGGUCCUAAGGUAGCGAAAUUCCUUGUCGGGUAAGUUCCGACCUGCACGAAUGGCGUAAUGAUGGCCAGGCUGUCUCCACCCGAGACUCAGUGAAAUUGAACUCGCUGUGAAGAUGCAGUGUACCCGCGGCAAGACGGAAAGACCCCGUGAACCUUUACUAUAGCUUGACACUGAAUAUUGAGCCUUGAUGUGUAGGAUAGGUGGGAGGCAUCGAAGCGUGGACGCCAGUCUGCGUGGAGCCAACCUUGAAAUACCACCCUUUAAUGUUUGAUGUUCUAACUCGGCCCCAUAAUCUGGGGUGAGGACAGUGUCUGGUGGGUAGUUUGACUGGGGCGGUCUCCUCCCAAAGAGUAACGGAGGAGCACGAAGGUUAGCUAAUCACGGUCGGACAUCGUGAGGUUAGUGCAAAGGCAUAAGCUAGCUUGACUGCGAGAGUGACGGCUCGAGCAGGUACGAAAGUAGGUCUUAGUGAUCCGGUGGUUCUGAAUGGAAGGGCCAUCGCUCAACGGAUAAAAGGUACUCCGGGGAUAACAGGCUGAUACCGCCCAAGAGUUCAUAUCGACGGCGGUGUUUGGCACCUCGAUGUCGGCUCAUCACAUCCUGGGGCUGAAGUAGGUCCCAAGGGUAUGGCUGUUCGCCAUUUAAAGUGGUACGCGAGCUGGGUUUAGAACGUCGUGAGACAGUUCGGUCCCUAUCUGCCGUGGGCGUUGGAAGAUUGAGAGGGGCUGCUCCUAGUACGAGAGGACCGGAGUGGACGCAUCACUGGUGUUCGGGUUGUCAUGCCAAUGGCAUUGCCCGGUAGCUAAAUGCGGAAAAGAUAAGCGCUGAAAGCAUCUAAGCGCGAAACUUGCCUCGAGAUGAGUCUUCCCUGGGGCUUUAAGCCCCCUGAAGGAACGUUAAAGACUAUGACGUUGAUAGGCUGGGUGUGUAAGUGCAGCGAUGCAUUGAGCUAACCAGUACUAAUGAUCCGUGAGGCUUAACC